GAUCCUGGCUCAGGAUGAACGCUAGCUACAGGCUUAACACAUGCAAGUCGAGGGGCAGCAUUUCGCUAGCAAUAGUGAAGAUGGCGACCGGCGCACGGGUGAGUAACACGUAUCCAACCUGCCGAUAACUCGGGGAUAGCCUUUCGAAAGAAAGAUUAAUAUCCGAUGGUAUAUUAAAACCGCAUGGUUUUACUAUUAAAGAAUUUCGGUUAUCGAUGGGGAUGCGUUCCAUUAGUUUGUUGGCGGGGUAACGG
rnacentral:rRNA from 1 species